GCUCCGCCCUAUCCCCGCCCUCGGGGCGGGGCCUUUCGGGGGAGGAGCCUGAGGCCCGGCGGCGCGGGUGGCCGCCGCCGCGCGCUGAGACCCCGGACUGCGGGACGCGCGGGGCCGAAGAGUCGUUUCUGGAAGGAAGUGUGAUCCGGGUUGUAAAAUGACGUGGGAUGACGUCAGAGGGUUGCUGUCCCCUCGGUGGAGAUAACAAGCCUGGAAAUGUGAGCUGCUUUCUUGAAGUAGUUCUCAGAAUUCAAUGUCACCAUGAUUAUGAUAAGAAAUUGAUUUACUCCAUAAUGAGACAGUUAUAGAACCGAAUUUUGUGCAGACGCUAAGUUGGCACUACUCAUACCGAGGACACUUAGAAAGUGGAAUGGUCUGGAAUGUUCUGGCCAUACUUACAAAAUCCUUGAAGGUGGGAACUGUCAGCAGCUGCUGUGUGCCCUUCAGAGAUGGCCUGUGCAGUAUCGCAUCACGUUGGCUCUGUGUUUGAGAUUUUGACAAGUUUUCCACCUGCUGUGAAAGGAUGUUCUGAAGCAGGUGUGUUUCUAAAAUUGAGAGCAAAAGGAAAAGGAAGCACACCCGACGAAUGACAUCCCACGUCACCGAAACAGGAGAGAAGGCAUGAAGGAAAAGGUGA